rnacentral:lncRNA from 1 species
GCACGUGUUGGAAUGGAUUUGUGUAAUCGAAUAGUAAUUCCGAAGCUAGUAAAGUCACCAUAGAGGUCAGAAUUGUAAACCUGUAAGUCUGACAAUACAGUAUAACAGUAAACACUAAAAGAUAAAACACUAUGUAUUAUGGGGGAGGUGUUUCAUUAAUAGCCAAAGAUGUAAUUUGUAACACAUAUAUUAAAGAUGAUUGUGUUUAACUAUUAUAUUGUGAGAUUUAAUGAAAAAAAAAAUAGACAAUGAAACCAAAAUACCAAAUUAAAAACCACAGAAAAAUACUAAUGCCAAAAC